UUGCUUGUAUACUAUCUAGUGUACCAGUAGAAAGAUGGAAACUUACCAAGUGAAAACUUUCAAAUUCAGAGAAACCCUGGAAUUCACAAAGCGCAAUCCUGAGCCAAAUCCUGUUUUCUGAAAACAAAAGAAAAGUUCAGAAAGAAAGUGAUAAUAAAAAAGGGAUAGGUGCAGAGACUCAAUGGAAGUUGUUCUAACAAAAAGGAGUUGGCAAUUUUUCCUUUUUGCAUUAGGAAAAGAAUCCUUCCG
rfam:Glycine soja cultivar W05 scaffold751_41, whole genome shotgun sequence.